UAGCUCAGUUGGUAGAGCAGUUGACUUUUAAUCAAUUGGUCGCAGGUUCGAAUCCUGCACGACCCACCAAUUUCAGCAUUUAACUCAGAUGCUGAACGUGAAGGAUAACGUUGCGUCAGCAACGGCCCGAAGGGCGAGGCAAAGCCGAGUCAUCCUGCACGCCCCACCA
rnacentral:sRNA from 1 species